UUGUCCAUAAUGUAAGGAUAUCUGGCCAAUAUCUGAUACUUAUGGAAAACCGGGCCCCCUAUUAAAAGCUUUAAAUAGCUUGCAUGGGGUGACCUUUCACGCAUCCGACUCUGUAAUACUGUUUGUUGUAUCAUCAAAGUCAAAGUC